rnacentral:rRNA from 1 species
UACGGAGGGUGCAAUCGUUAUCCGGAUUCACUGGGUUUAAAGGGUGCGUAGGUGGGUUGGUAAGUCAGUGGUGAAAUCCCCGAGCUUAACUUGGGAACUGCCAUUGAUACUAUUAAUCUUGAAUACCGUGGAGGUUAGCGGAAUAUGUCAUGUAGCGGUGAAAUGCUUAGAUAUGACAUAGAACACCAAUUGCGAAGGCAGCUGGCUACACGAAUAUUGACACUGAUGCACGAAAGCGUGGGGAUCAAACAGG